UAGCCUUGACAUAGACAGAAUUUAGUAGAGAUAUAAAAGUGCCAGUUUACUGGAGCUGUUAUACAGGUGCUGCACGGCUGUCGUCAGCUCGUGUCGUGAGAUGUUGGGUUAAGUCCCGCAACGAGCGCAACCCUCGUCCUUAGUUACUAACGGUUCGGCCGAGGACUCUAAGGAGACUGCCUUCGUAAGGAGGAGGAAGGUGAGGACGACGUCAAGUCAUCAUGGCCCUUACGGCUAGGGCAACACACGUGCUACAAUGGUUAGGACAAUGAGAAGCGAUACCGCGAGGUGGAGCAAAUCUAUAAACCUAAUCUCAGUUCGGAUAGCAGUCUGCAACUCGACUGCUUGAAGCUGGAAUCACUAGUAAUCGUAAAUCAGCUAUGUUACGGUGAAUACGUUCCCGGGUCU
rnacentral:rRNA from 1 species